AUCUGUUUCCCGGAAAUUCGCGGACGCCUGCGCGCGAGCCCUACCCUGCGCAAUCCUAUCCACAGCAGUCGAAUAAUCAGGAUUAUCCGAAUGCGCCUGCGCCCUAUCCGCCGCAGCAGCAAAGCCGUCCGCCCGUCACGCAGACAUCUGCGCGUCCGGAAGCGGCAGCGGGUCUCGAUGGCUGGCUGAUCGAUCGGGUUUUCGGCGGACGGCGCUGAUCGCGCAAACUGAAGUGUGAUUCAGCUUUACUGAAUCACC
rnacentral:misc_RNA from 1 species